AAAAAGGUUUUUUAAAAAAAAAUUUUUUUUUUUUGGGGGGGGGGGGGGUUUUUUCCCCCCCCCCCCC